UUUUCCGUGGUGUAGUGGUUAUCACGUGCACCUCACACGUGCAAGGUUCCCGGUUCGAUCCCGGGCGGAAACA